ensembl:lncRNA
AUGAAUUCUCUCGUCGGCUAUGGCGUGUCCUCUGAUUCUGACAGCGAUGGGGAUAUUGUAAACAACAAGAAGACUGAGAGCAAGGUGGAUGGAGAGACCCAGAAGAAGGGCCGCAAUUUCCUCCUAGAGUCCGGGUCAGCCUCCAGUGAGUCGGACUGUGACUCCAACCCAGAGGAAGAGGUGAACCCCGUAUCUCAACUACAACCAAAACGCCCUCCUCCUUCCUGUAUGGGACCCCCCUCAGAGUCCCGUACCCCUCUCCUCCCCGCACCCCCUAGCUCCCUCUCCUACAAACUCCCCCCUCCCCCCCUCGGGGCCUCGUCCAAGAGUGGCGUAUUCGCCAACCCCUUCAAGGCUCAAGCCGACCAGAAGCUCAACGUCUUGCAGAAGCAUGUCCCUCUCACAGUGCAGGCCCGGCCCUCCCAGAUAGGGGGCAAGAGGAUGUGUGUGGCGUACAGGAAGGACGGACGCUGCAGGUUCGGGAUCAAAUGCAAGUUUGCCCACGACAGCGAUCUCCAGAGCUCCAUCAUUCCCAAUGACUAUGACCCCCCUGAGGAUGACGCUCCCGGAUCGCACCAAGCUGACCCCAACGCAGGAGGCUCUUCAUACAUGGGUCGCCAGAACUUUCACCACAACCAGGGAGGAGACCCUGAAGAGGAUGAGGGUCAGCAGUCUAGGAAGAGGAGAGUAGGGCUGAGUAACACCCUAGUGCCUCCUAAAAGGGCGUUGAAGAAUUAUGCAAUGCAGAGGAAGAGAGAACAGGUCAAUUUGAACUGAGCAACUUGCACAGGAAUACUGUCAGCAGCAAUACACUUUGUGUGUGUCUGUGUGUGUGUGUGUGUACGCGUGUGUGUGUGUGUGUGUGUAUACGCUCACAUUGUUUUAGUGUGUGACAAGAGAAAAUGGGAACAUGUUCCAAUUUUGUACCCCCCCCCCCCCAUGGAUGUAAAAGGAAUGGACUGGUGUAAAAAAUGGUUUAAACUUCUCCCUACCCAUGCUUACGAGUGAGCAAGUGCAAACGAAUCAGACGACAGCCAGAGAGUAUUCUAUACACCGCUUGUCAGUAUGCAAGAUAGGAUAACUAUACCACACUUCCAAACCUCUGUGCAGUCCAGUACAUGUACUUCAGAUUGGUAGUUUGUACAUGGAGUUUUUGUAGUUUCAUUGAAAACGUCUUUAUUUUGGAAGAACCUGUCCAUUGGAAAUAUCAGCUACAUUUUAUCAUUGUUAAAUAAAUGCUUUAAAUGUUUGUUAUUUGUGUUUGUGACCACUUAAUGAUACAUGGACAUAGGAACUGGAGAUACCAAUAAAGUUAUGGAUCAAGUUUAGGAAAAUAUAAUCAUUCAUUUAAACGGUUUUGCUUGAUUAGAGAAAGAUUGAAAGGAGAGGCAGCACAGGGUUACUUUUUUUUGAUCAGUUGCAACACACUCCGGCAUCAGUCACAAUGUAAGCACACACACUCAGCUCCUGCUUUUUGGGAUGGAUCUAUUUUUAGCCCCACACACCGGCGAUUGAUGCUUCUCCAGCCAAAAACUGCAAUGAAAGCCAAGAUCGAACGGAACAGACAGCGGGCUCUGAUGCUGAGGCAAGCCCGACUGGCUAGCGGACUAUUGGCAGGAGAGGGGGGGUGGCACCUCGGCUAGUCACAAAAAACAGACUCUUGAGGAGGGUUCUUCAUUGAUGAAGAAGAGGAGGGACAGGAGGAGCAAAGGGGGAAUAUGGUGGUGCGUCAACCAGGUAUGUACAUUUAUAACUAAUCAUAUGUUGCGUUAUGUCUAUCAGAGGUCAUCUAUCUAGCGGCUAUGCUCUCAUCUGUCAAAGAUGGUUCAUGUGUGCCCCCAAAUGGAUUCAUGCCAUAGCAAAUGCCAGUGGCUAAGUAGAGUCAGUUUCUUUCUAUAGCCCAGCUACCUGAAACAAUGGCCAUAACAACAACAACAUAAACAAAUAUCAAGAUUGUCACAAGAAACAACAGUAACAACAAUAAUCAAGGGCGCGUUUAACUUACUAGGGCACCCUGGCUGACUGACUCCUAGCACUCUGCAUUGGUCGUAAGUUGCUCUUGAUAAGAGCGUCUGCUAAAUGACAAAAAUAUCACAUGUAAAUGUACUAGUAGUGUAGACAGUGUUGAGUUAGCCUGGGCCCCAAGGAGUCCAGAGAAAACAGGGAGGUGCAGAAGCGCUUCAACACACAAAGGUCAAAGGUCAGUAACACUUUUUAAUAUAGAUCAAACCUACCAGCUCCAGUGGAUUGUGGAAAGCGGGUGAUGCAAUUUUGUUUCAUUAUUGAUUGAAAAGAUAAACCUGCACACUGAGCUUGCCACUUAUGUUUAUUCAAUGUUUUAGAUUGUUAUUUGCUCUGUUGUGAACCUGAGCUGUCGUGCAGUGAGGAGCAGCGUGUGGACAAAGGGCACCAGUGCUCACCAGCAUGACUACGGCCCUGAGGAACUAGUGGUUGAAGAGGAGGAUCUCUACAGGAAGGUAGAGGACACCAACUGACCUAUGAGCAGAUGAAGCUUAGUGUCCUUUAACCCUUAUCCCGGGGGCCCACAGGGUGAGUUUUUUUUUUUUUUUUUACCACUGGUUGACACCGGACACAGAAACUGAGAUUCAAAUAACUUACCAUGUACUUGACACAAUUCCUUGUAGCUGAAACAAGAUCUUCCUGAAAUCUUGUACAUGCCAUACACAAUGUGGCCACAAGAGGGCAGGCAUGCGUGAACAUUCCUCUACAUGUUGUGCUGCUCAGAAACUGGGGAUAGCUAUCGUACUAUUAAAUAUCAACUUGAUAAUUUCCCUUUUAUAUUGACAAUUUGUAAGAUAAUGUAGAAGGAUCUAUGUCUGAAAUAAAUAUUUUUCCAUCAUUUGAUGUUUUUGCAAUAAAAUGUAUAUUUAGUUGGAUUACUGUGGACGGAUUAAGCCAGGAUAAAAUAUGGAGUGGACUGUGGAAGAUCCGAAAGCGGUUGACAUUGAUGUCAAUUCCAAUUGAGCCUGACAUAUGCAGCAUUUACUUUGAAUGUGAUUUCCAUGACCUCUGUAAACAUUGCCCACAAAUUGUCCGUCUCUGAGCGAGUUCCUCUGCCCAGGCUUUGCCGAUGCAUGCCCGAUCUAUAGGCCUGAUUCAAUCAGAUCAAGUGAUCGCGAACACCCGCUUAGCUGGUGUUUUGGCGGCGUUGGAGGAAUAACUGCGUUAGAGCUGUCAAAUCAGUAAGCACACACCCAUCCCACUCGCAUUAGAUGUUCAGAAUGAGAAAGUGUAGGCUAUAUAGAAAUAAUGAAACUCAGAAAUCCUCCUUUCGUUGAAUGAUUUCCAAUCAACCUAAAUCAAGGUUUAGGCUAGAUAAGGCUACCAUCUCACAUUCCAGUGUUUUCUAACUUGUAAACAAGGCUGCAUGGGGAUUUCUUUCGAUGUGAUUCCGUGCAGCCAAUGGCAACUCUAGGUAUAACGGCGUAAGCCGCUUGUACAUUGAACAGCUCUAACGUAGUUCCACCUCCAAAACCACCACUAUAAGGGCGAUGGCUAGGGCAGAUCGGAUAGAAUCUAGGCCCUACUGUUAGAACCGAAAGUAGACAGUUUUGUUUCUUUGUUUGCCAUGGAAAAUUGAGGACCGUAAGUGUUGUGAUACUAGUAUCAUGAGGAUGGUGGGAGGAGGGGCUCAUUGUAAUGGCUGGAAUGGAAACUAUGGAACGGAGACAAACACACUAAACAUGGGAACGUGUUUGACUCGGUUCCAUCGAUUCCACUCCAGCCAUUGCAAUGAGCCAGUCCUAUAGCUCCUCCCACCAGCCUCUUCUGAUAAAUGCUAAACACACAAACACAGAAGGCCAGUUGAUGGGUAUAGAUGGCUACAUCACUUUAUGUACAAAGGCAACAACUCACACACACACACACAACUGCCCUGAUGUGGGUAGAUCUAAAAAGCUACCAAAAGUGACUAUAAAUACAUAUUUCUGUGAUCCUAUAUAUUUCAAAUGGUGCCACAAUACAUUAGGAGGGACAUCGCUAGACCUCUCAUUUUUUUACUGUCUUUCCCAGUUUCCCCUAACCUCGAAAUCCAGACUGAAUCACCUUAUGUUGUUUCACUUUCCUAAUUAGUGAUCGUAAAGUGAAACAGCUGAAUUCAGUUUGAAUUUCCAGGCU